rnacentral:rRNA from 1 species
AGUGAACGCUGGCGGUAGGCCUAACACAUGCAAGUCGAACGGCAGCACAGUAAGAGCUUGCUCUUACGGGUGGCGAGUGGCGGACGGGUGAGGAAUACAUCGGAAUCUACUUUUUCGUGGGGGAUAACGUAGGGAAACUUACGCUAAUACCGCAUACGACCUACGGGUGAAAGCAGGGGAUCUUCGGACCUUGCGCGAUUGAAUGAGCCGAUGUCGGAUUAGCUAGUUGGCGGGGUAAAGGCCCACCAAGGCGACGAUCCGUAGCUGGUCUGAGAGGAUGAUCAGCCACACUGGAACUGGGACACGGUCCAGACUCCUACGGGAGGGAGCAGUGGGGAAUAUUGGACAAUGGGCGCAAGCCUGAUCCAGCCAUACCGCGUGGGUGAAGAAGGCCUUCGGGUUGUAAAGCCCUUUUGUUGGGAAAGAAAAGCAGCAGGUUAAUACCCCGCUGUUCUGACGGUACCCAAAGAAUAAGCACCGGCUAACUUCGUG